UUUUUUUGCCAUGAUCUGCCAUGAUCUGCAACCUUCCACAUGCUCCCCUCAGGGAUCUUCACUUUCCUUUGCAGUGCAGACCCCUCAAACCAGGCAGAGCUGAGGAUGCCAGCCCACAGGAGUGAGCAGCUGUGCCCGGCAGUUGAAGCAGGACAGCACCUGCAGUGCUCUUCCUGGCUGAGACCAGAGACAGAGGCCGCUGGCCAGUCUGGCACACAUGAGGUGGAGGAAACAGGAAGAAGGGCUGUGACGUUUAAUCAAUCCCUGAAGCAGUCUUUCCUAGUCAAAAUCAAGUCGAUAUAUGAUUUAGAAAAGUAUAUGCUACCUGCAGUGUGGUAUCCUGAACUGGAACAGAAAGAAAGACAUGAGUGGAAACCGGCAAAAUUUGAUGAUAGCUGGCUUUUUGUUAGUGGUAGUGUAUCAGUGUUAGUUUCUUAGUUUGGACAAACGGCCGCGGUUAUAGAAGAUGUUAAUGUUAGGGGACACUGGGUGAAGGCUAUGUGGGAACUCUGCGUACUGUCUUUGCAACUUUUCUGUAAAUCUAAAAUUGUUCGAAAAUAAAAAACUUAUUUUAGAGGGCCACAGCUCAGCCCUAGACCUGCCUCAUACCCACACAGACGCUUUCAUACACAGAGGAUGGAGGUUGGGGAAACUGAGGCAGGAGACUGGCCACACCGUACUCGGACUCAUAACAGUUUCCCUUGGCCCCUGGACAUUCCCGUCUUGUCAAGGCCACUUUUUUUUUUUUGAGUCUUCCCAUGAAUUAAAAAAAAAGAAAUGGAAAAUUGGUGUUAAAAAGUUAAUUAUAAAAGCAUAUUUUUCUCUAGAAUAAUUGGGGUUGCUUGCCUCUAUAUAUUUACUGGGCAAUAUAUUAAGGACCUGAUUCAUGGAAAAAAAAUGUCAACGUAAAAUACAGCUUUACCAUGCAGGAAAGAAUUGUUACUGCUACAACUCAUCCAUAUCCCUAAUGAAAAUAUCUGAUCAUUUAUUAGUGCUCUUUCUUAUGCUAUUUUUCCCACCUUCUGUUCCGUGCUGAUGUAUAAAUUACUUACUCGUUCACUCGCUCCCUCAUUCAAUGAACAUUUAUAAAACCAGGUAUGGAGCUUAACCCUGAGGAAAAGAAAAGGAGCAGAAUAAAGCGUGGUUUCUGCCUGUAAA